rnacentral:rRNA from 1 species
AUUGAACGCUGGCGGCAGGCCUAACACAUGCAAGUCGAGCGGACGAAGGGAGCUUGCUCCUGGAUUCAGCGGCGGACGGGUGAGUAAUGCCCAGGAAUCUGCCUGGCAGUGGGGGAUAACGUCCGGAAACGGGCGCUAAUACCGCAUACGUCCUGAGGGAGAAAGUGGGGGAUCUUCGGACCUCACGCUAUCAGAUGAGCCUAGGUCGGAUUAGCUAGUUGGUGGGGUAAAGGCCUACCAAGGCGACGAUCCGUAACUGGUCUGAGAGGAUGAUCAGUCACACUGGAACUGAGACACGGUCCAGACUCCUACGGGAGGCAGCAGUGGGGAAUAUUGGACAAUGGGCGAAAGCCUGAUCCAGCCAUGCCGCGUGUGUGAAGAAGGUCUUCGGAUUGUAAAGCACUUUAAGUUGGGAGGAAGGGCAGUAAGUUAAUACCUUGCUGUUUUGACGUUACCAACAGAAUAAGCACCGGCUAACUUCGUG